CGCGGCCUAUCAGCUUGUUGGUGAGGUAAAGGCUCACCAAGGCAUUGACGGGUAGCUGGUCUGAGAGGACGAUCAGCCACACUGGGACUGAGACACGGCCCAGACUCCUGCGGGAGGCAGCAGUGGAGAAUCUUGCGCAAUGGGCGAAAGCCUGACGCAGCAACGCCGCGUGGGGGAUGAAGGCUCUCGGGUUGUAAACCCCUUUCAGCAGGGACGAAAUUGACGGUACCUGUAGAAGAAGCCCCGGCCAACUACGUGCCAGCAGCCGCGGUAACACGUAGGGGGCGAGCGUUGUCCGGAAUUAUUGGGCGUAAAGGGCUCGUAGGCGGUUCGGUAAGUCAGAUGUGAAAGGUUGGGGCUCAACCCUAAGACUGCAUUUGAUACUGCCGUGACUAGAGUCCGGUAGAGGAGUGUGGAAUUCCUGGUGUAGCGGUGAAAUGCGCAGAUAUCAGGAGGAACACCGACGGCGAAGGCAGCACUCUGGGCCGGUACUGACGCUGAGGAGCGAAAGCGUGGGUAGCAAACAGGAUUAGAUACCCUGGUAGUCCACGCCGUAAACGUUGGGCACUAGGUGUGGGACCUUAUCAACGGGUUCCGUGCCGUAGCUAACGCAUUAAGUGCCCCGCCUGGGGAGUACGG
rnacentral:rRNA from 1 species